rnacentral:rRNA from 1 species
UACAGAGGUGGCAAGCGUUGUUCGGAAUUACUGGGCGUAAAGGGCGCGUAGGCGGCCUUCUAAGUCAGACGUGAAAUCCCCCGGCUUAACCUGGGAACUGCGUCUGAUACUGGAAGGCUUGAGUGCGGGAGAGGUGAGUGGAACUGCGAGUGUAGAGGUGAAAUUCGUAGAUAUUCGCAAGAACACCAGUGGCGAAGGCGGCUCACUGGCCCGAUACUGACGCUGAGGCACGAAAGCGUGGGGAGCAAACAGG